UACUUUUAUUUAAGUUGUAAUGAUCAGUGAGACGUGACAAUAAUAGAGGAAUUCAGAUGCAGAAUUAGAGUAUUUAUCAUCACACUGGACCACUGCUACACCACUAUCAAGAGUGCUUACUGUGCUAUUCCACACCCACAGUUAGGAAAGUUUGAUUACUUGGCUGCACUUCUACUCCCUGAGUAUAGGUAGAGACAGAAAACUACAGCACCAGUAGUGAGGACCAAGAAUGUAUGGACAAGGGAAGCACAGGAGCACUUACAGCACUGCUUUGCAUCAAUGAACUGGACUGUAUUCGGGGAUUCGUCUUCGAAGCUAGAUGAAAAUAGGAUUAUCCCUGAAGAACUAUGAAUGAGCUGUCUUCAAAUGGACAUCCUUUUCUUUGUGAUUGGGAUCAACUCCGGAGAACUAUGACCGAACUGUCCUUAAAAGGCCUUCCACUUCUGCAAGAUCCAGUUAUCGGAGAGCUGUUAGCAGAGAAACAAGCUGUGGACUUGAAGAAAGAAGAGAAACUGAGGAAGAACAGGGAAGCCAUGAAAAAGCACCGGGAUGGAGAGACAGCAGAGCAGAGAGCAGAUAGGCUGCGUAAGAACAGAGAGGCAAUGAGGGUUCGCCGGCAGAUGGAAUCUGAGGAGCAGCGAGAUAUUCGGCUGCGUAAAAACCGUGAGGCUAUGAAGCGGUGCCGUCAGAUGGAAACUGAAGCACAGAGGGACGAGAGGUUGCGUAAGAACAGAGAACUGAUUAAAAGUCGGCGGCAGCAGGAAUCCCAGGAGCAGAGACAGGAGAGGCUGCGGAAAAACUGGGAGUCGACUAAAGUCCGACGGCAGGAAGAGACUGAGGAAGAACGAGAGCUCCGGCUACGCAGAAACUGGGAUGGAAUUAAAAGGCGCCGCGAGCAGGAAACAGAGGAGCAGCGGAAGAAAAGGUUACGGAAGAACUGGGAAGGGAUCAAGAACCGACGACAGCAGAAGAGUGAGGGUGAAAAGGAAGACAUGUUGUGCAGGAUUUGGGAAGCAAUGAGGCAGUUCACCCAGCAGGAAAUGCAAGAUGAUAGAGACAAACGAUGUCAUUUGCUGUUGGACAGGGGGCUAGUGGAAGGAACACAGGAAGAGAGGCUGCAGAACAGGGAGGCGUCCCGGUGCUGUUUCCAGCAAGAGGUGGAGCAAAGGAAAUGAGAAGGACGGCUGAGUCUUUAAAACUGGAUUUGGUUUCGCCAGCAGUUCCUUUCACCAAUAAUGCUUGCCCGCUUCAGCUUGUUAAACAACGCUGGUUACUACAAAACAAUUUUAUGCCAUAAAACAGUGGAUUAAUAUUGACAUGUGCAGGUGAUGGAUAAAAGCUGUCUUAAUUCAUUGUGGUUAGUGAUCCACCAGGCUUAAAUUGUCACAAACCAUGGGAUCACAGUAACUCCUGGGAGGAGGAGCAAGACAUUUGAUUCCUGGCAGGGAUGGACCAUGUUUCACAAAGUCACAUUCUGGAUAUGACUGAACACCUGGUCUUAAAGAAAAUCCUGAGGAAGAGUCUGGGUGAAUGAGCAGAUGGUGGAGAGCGAGGUUCGAAACACAGUCCAGAUUGAACUCUUGUUGAGGAUAUGGUUUCAGUGAAAGUGUGAGAAGAAAUCGAACACGCUGGGUGCAGAGUUCCCAGAGAUGAGGAUCUGCCCUGGGUGACUUUGUUAGUUACUUACUACAGGGGCGAUCCAUAACCAGCUGGAUAGGUUGCCGCGG